rnacentral:lncRNA from 1 species
CCUGUCCUAUCAACGGAGGGUGGACUAUAUAAGAAUCAACGAAGCUGUCACUAUCGCGAACUACCACACGACCCGGCCAAUAGGAUACAUUUGCAGAUAAAUAACAUCUAAGCACCACACUCACAUGUGAUCUAUCACCUAACUCCCUCGCGUCAAGAGCUAAGCGCUUUGCAAACUUAUACAUAAACUCAUUAUCAAU